AAGUCGUAACAAGGUUUCCGUAGGUGAACCUGCGGAAGGAUCAUUACAGAGAACCUGCCCUCCGGGGUAGAUCUCCCACCCUUUGCUUACCUUACCUCUGUUGCUUUGGCAGGCCCGUCCCCCGGGACCGCCGGCUCCGGCUGGCCAGCGCCUGUCAGAGGACCCCCAACUCUUGUUUAAUUGUCGUCUGAGUACUAUAUAAUAAGUUAAAA
rnacentral:misc_RNA from 1 species